rnacentral:tRNA from 1 species
UAAAAGUAAGCAAUUUGUAUUCAGUUUCGACCUGAAAGAAGAAAAGUUUAUUUUCACUUUUAG